rnacentral:rRNA from 1 species
GCAAAUUCUAUAAUGAUAGUUGAUAUUAUGUAGAAUAUAAUGAAAGUAAAUAAUUAAUUUUCUAUUAAAACCACUUUUUAAAACCAUGGUUGAAAAAUUUGAGUGAAAGUUUAUCUGCUGAGACCCGAAAGAUGGUGAUCUAUGACUGAAUAGGGUGAAGUCAGGGGAAACUCUGAUGGAAGCUCGAAGGGAUUCUGACGUGCAAAUCGAUCCUCAAAUUUGGUUAUAGGGGCGAAAGACUCAUCGAAUCAUUAAGUAGCUGGUUCCCUCCGAAGUUUCCCUCAGGAUAGCUGGAGUAUAUAUUUUUUAUAAAUGAUAAGUUAGAUUAGGUAAAGCGAAUGAUUAGAAGUAUGGGGAAAAAAAUUUUCUUCACUUAUUCUCAACUUAAUAGUCUAUAUUAUAAGAAAU